UUCAUUGUUUUACUCACUGCCAAAUUUACAGCAGUAGAUGCCCUUAUCCACAAUGACUGCUUCAUACGUAGACUCAAUCGAGAACAUAUCCCCAUGCUUGUACGAACUACAAUUUUGAGAUGCGUUAGCAACUUAAUUUUAGCAAAAAGUGUACAAGUUGUGAGCCAGUAGUGUUUUUUUUUUUCGUGAAGAUGUGAAACUUUAAGUUUCGGGAUCUUUGUCUAAAGCCUGGCAGAGACUCAGCUGUUUGGACAAGCAGAGGAAGUUCAUGUCACCACUUAAACAGAGAGGAAUUUCAUGCAGUAACCAAAGAAAGCGAUCCUUACCCAGAAUUCUACAUGCUGGCAACACUACAAGUGCUAAAUCUAUAAAUAUAUACUGGUGAUUUGACCUACACUAUUGUGAGUGCUGUAGAAAAUUAAUUAACACCUUCUGAGCAGCCUCGAUGUGGGAUUUCAGACCUUCGGUGAGAAGAUGCUGACUCCAAGUGGUCUCUGAGGACAACAACCUCCUAAUCAAGUUGUAACCUCCUAAUGAUGACAGUCAUAAGGUCCACAUCACUUCUGGCAGGGACUUCUGACUUGCAUGAAGGUUCUUCAACCAGACCGGAACCAAGAACAGGAAUCUGAGUCUGGUAGGCACAGGAUGACUAAAACCAAACAGAAGACGGCAGAAAUGAUGACAUUUGGUUCAACAAAUCCUGAUUUGUACUGUGACAUACAGAUGGUAGGGUCAGAAAUUAAUCUCAAAAGCAUGAACCCAUGCGACCCAACCUGCAUUAUCUCAACAGUUCAGGCUGGUCUUUGUGAUGUAAUGAUGUAGUAAACAUUUUCAUGCCAACCGCUAGAGCCUGUAAAACCAAUCAAGCAUUGUUUGGAAACUGCAGCUAUCUGAGUAUUGUCGCUGACCACGUGCAUCCCUCAUAUGGCCCCAAUUUACCCAUCUUAAAAUGGCUACUUCUAGCAUAAUAAUGCAUCAUGUCACGAAGCACAAGUUGUCUCAAACUGGUUCCAGGAACAUGACAAUGAGUUCAGUGUUCUUCAGUGCCCUCUUCAGUCACAAGAUCUGAGUACAAUAGAGCACCUUUAAGAUGUGUUCACAACAUGAACGUGCAGCCGACAAAAAAAUGGACCAGAUGCCUUGAUUUUGCACAAAAAAUAUGAGAGCACGGUGAAAGGAUGAUGGUUCAACCCAGUAUUAAUGUAGUAUAUUCAUGAUCUGGCUUGUACUGUAUCAGCCUUUUGUGCAACAGUGACCUAAACCUGUCUUCUUUUACAUUCAUUACAACGAUUUCAUGAAAUAACAAAAACACACACUUUUUACAUAUCCACAAUUAUAUUCAAUUUAAAUAACCUUUUCGGCACAAUAUACAGAAGUCUAUAAGAAUUUGGAGUAUGAAGGAAGAAGCCAGAAGAGGAAACUGAGACUUUUUCACCUUUUGCAUGGCUUUGGUUUCCUCAUUGGAGGGAGAGUUCCUCACCAGCUGUCAUCCUGUAAAAUAACCUGGAGCCCAGAACACCUCCUGUGUGGCCCACACACAUAUGUAUGCACACAUGCUGACCAAACUGUCUGUGCAGAUUUUGUAAUCCACUGCCUCUGAAAUGUUUACAAAUCUAACAUUUUAUGCACAUUUUAAAUCCAAAGGUUGAGAUUUACUAUAAUAUAC